UGGUGGGCACUCUAAGGAGACUGCCGGUAGACAAACCGGAGGAAGGUGGGGAUGACGUCAAGUCAUCAUGGCCCUUACGGCCUGGGCUACACACGUGCUACAAUGGUACGGUACAAAGGGUUGCCAAGCCGCGAGGUGGAGCUAAUACCCAUAAAACCGAUCGUAGUCCGGAUCGCAGUCUGCAACUCGACUGCGUGAAGUCGGAAUCGCUAGUAAUCGUGAAUCAGAAUGUCACGGUGAAUACGUUCCCGGGCCUU
rnacentral:rRNA from 1 species